CUUCACAGUAUGCGAUUCACUCACACCAAGCAAUACAAUCACAUUACAGAAUGUGAGCCAGUCACGCAACAUCACAGACCGAGCAACAAUAAAGUGUGUGAUCUGGUCACAUCCAACAUCUGACCUAAAAACAUCAGACCCUUCAUGUGAUCACAACAUAAAACUACAUGAUUCUGUGACAUCAAGACUUAUUAUCCAAUCACACCAAACCCAC